rnacentral:sRNA from 1 species
GUUGGGUGCUGUGAUGCAUGCCUGUAAUCUCAGUGGCUGGGAGACUGAGGCAGGAGGAUCUAGAGUUCAAAGCUAGCCUCAGAAAUUUAGGGAGGCCCUAAGCAACUUAAUGAGUUCCUGUCUCAA